rnacentral:rRNA from 1 species
UACGGGGGGGGCAAGCGUUGUUCGGAAUUACUGGGCGUAAAGGGCUCGUAGGCGGCCAACUAAGUCGGAUGUGAAAUCCCCAGGCUCAACUUGGGAACUGCAUCCGAUACUGGACGGCUUGAAUCCGGGAGAGGGAUGCAGAAUUCCAGGUGUAGCGGUGAAAUGCGUAGAUAUCUGGAGGAAUACCGGUGGCGAAGGCGGCAUCCUGGACCGGCAUUGACGCUGAUGAGCGAAAGCUAGGGGAGCAAACGGG